CGUGUGGUCAAGUACUGGCUGGCAACCUUUUUCUUUUGUCCAGUGAUAGAUGCUUUUCCAUCUCAAUGCUUCUCAGGUCAGAAGCCUGAAAGUCGUUAUAAGUGAGCUCCUCUUUUGCUUUCUAACUGAGCAGUAAAAUCCUGGAAGCAGGAGCAAAAACCCUGUAUCAAAGUGCUUGAUCUCACUAAAAACACACACAGAUGCUAGUUCCAGCUCCCUGGGAAGCUUUCCAUAUUUCAUCAUUAUGAAGUUAUAAAUGUUGCUUGGCAGUUGAUCAGAGAGAGAUCCACCUCUUAACUGAAAAAGUGCUUCAAGAAGAUUUGCAUUGACAUUAGUAGACACAGUAACUUCAGGCUUUGAAGCCAAGACAGGAUGUUUUUCUAACAGUUCACCUUAGAAGUGCUUUCUUGGGAACUCAAAGCAAAAGAGGCUGAAUGUUGAACUUCUUCAGAAGGGACUUGUGGUGAUUGCUGUGAUUUCAGCUGAGUUUGCUUGCAGGCGGAGGGAAAGCUGUGCUGGCUGCUGCAGGGUGUUUUUGUGAGGGAGCUGUUUGGUGCUGCAGAGCCUUGUUGAGUACUGUGAAUUUUCCCUUUUUCGCAUCUCGUGUCUCAAGUUGAGCAGUAAAUUGGGGGUUUGUGCAGGAAGUUCACACUGCAUUAGCGGCCAUAACUGAAACAAAUCUGAGCUUGCCUGAAUGCUGGGGAACUCACCUGGCCAAAAUGUGAGGCCGUGUGCUUUUUGAAUUUUCUCAGCCUGGGAUAAAUUCUCAAAACAUCAACUUUGCUACCAAGUUUUGGGGCAUAAGAAUUUGUGCUCUGUGCAGAAAUAUCCGUGAACUUGUACAGCUGGAGAUGCUAAAGGUGUGUUGUAGGUAGCAAGUAGGUUGCUCUGAAAGUAAUGCCUCCUAUUUAUUUCCAUGGAAACUACAACAGAGCAUAACAACACUUUCCAAAAGAGCAAAUUCUCAGCUACAAAACACUGUUCUUCAAUAUUGUCACCACCAUCAGUCAGUUCGCUUGGCUGAGCUGAUGGAGAUGCUCCUCAUUUUGUGGUGUGACAGCUGUGCAUACCCAUGUGAGCCCAGCUGCUUGUUUGGUCUCUGUGAACAACUGUAGGAGCCAUUUCAACUCCAUUCUAACUCUGUAUAGCAGUACAACUUUAUUCUAUAACUAAUCAAUAAAAAUGUUAAUAAAUAUUUAACUUCAUUUAACCUCAUUUUGAUGCAGGAAUACAUUUCAUGGUUUGGUUACUGACUUCUGAGAAGGGAUUCUAAAGACACGCAGGGAGAAUAUGAAACUGGUAAGCAGAUACGAAGAAGAGUUUUUCUCUGCUGACAAUAUCUAUGUUGAUAAGGGAAAAAUCAACCAGUAUAAAAACAAGACAAUGAUAAAUGUUUUCUUUUCUGUGUGUUUUCUUUUGUUUUGUUUUUAAGGUUGUUUUAUUUCUAUCUUAGACCUCCUGUGGGCUGAGGCACUUCCCUGGUAAGAGGUCAGUUUCUCCAGAAUGCAUUGAACAGCUUGCUAGCAGUUCUGGAGAAAAAGUCAGUAACAUCCCUGCAUGAGUUCAAAUCUGAUGUGCUGCUUUCACAAAGAGGUUCUUACCUCAGCUGGAAAAGAUUUGUCAUCUUUUAAAUGUAUUCAUGCUUUUGAAGAAGCAACUUUGUUACUGACAAGGAUUUUUUUUUUAAUAUUUUUAGGUAGCUGAUAUUGUCCUGUCUGGUACCUUCUGAUAGAUUUUAAUUUCCUGUUGUUGUACUGAUGACUGCAGCCUCAGGUGGUUCUGUGAGAAAAGCUGUUAUUUUAUACUAAGUGUGCUUCAGUAUCUUCAUCAUCAGAACCCUAACUCAUUAGCACUUACUGCUUUCCCUACUAUUGCUAUGCAGAUAGCUGUUUUAUUUUGAAUGCUAGGAAGGUUCUUCCAUCCUCAGGCUGGUAUUUACUGUUCAGGAAAGUCUCACACUGAAAUGGAGAUAAAAUCCAGUUAAGUUUUGGUAAGUACUUAAAAGGUUGGAAAUUAACAAGUAACACGUAAUGCAGUCUGUUCUUACAGUGAGCUGUGGGGAAUCUUUUAAUGGAAAAAUAGGAUCAGAUUUAUUUAUGUAGUUAUCAAAAAGCUGUGUAAAACAUAUUGCAGCAUCUUUGGUUACAAAUUUGUCUUAAAUACAGCAAACUGAACUAAAGAUGUAAGGUUCUUCAUGUCAAAUUCACGUUUGGGAGGAAAAGAAGAGCAUUAUUACUCAAGUUUAGAGGAUCUGAAUAAGAACUGUUAAGACUAUUGAUGAAGCACCUUUGACAGGGAGGAAUUUUUAGAAAGAUACUCUAGAUAUCACUGAGUGAGAUUCUCUUGUUCUCAUGCUCUUAGGUGACUGUUAUGAACUGUGGCUAACCCAGCCCUUAAAUCUCAUUCACAGUGUCCAACCUAACUCUUCCUUUUUGUAGUUUGGUCUCUUAUACUUCCUUCUCUUUAGUGUGUUUACGUAUUUGAAGACUCAACUCAUGUCUUCUCUCUGCUUUUCAAUGCUUUCCCUGCAGAGACCUCAUUUGGUCCACGACUUAGAAAUGUGUCCAAAAAUGAUGCAUAAAAUAAGCUGAAUAGAGAAUUAUUUCUCCUCUUGAAUAUGUUUGUGCAUCUCAGUUUUAGUAGCAUUUUGUUACUGGUAACUGAGCCUGUAAUCCCCAGCAGUUGCAGUGGGAAAAUGUAAAGCAGAGCACUGGCUGGCUUCAGCCUUCUGGCUGCCCAGCCGCUCCACAUCUGUUUGACACAGCAGCAACUGGAUGCUCAACAUUCAGGUUUCAACAAAAUUUGGCUCUGCAUUUCAUAUUCUUAUGUUGAUAAGUUCAUGUAAACUAUUAGCUUUAAAACCACUUUCUGCCUGUAAGAUACUGCCCAGAUUGAAAUGUCCCAGCCAUCUCUAUUUGCACCCUGGGUAAAUGCAGUAAGUGAGGCAGAUAAUGCCACCUGGUGUUCAUUAGCACACAUGGGAGUGCAUGUGUGUAUACUGAGUGCUUGUUUUCUGGGUAACAUUUGCCAUUAUAUAACAAUCUGUAGUCCAUAAAUAGUGUUGUUCAAAGAAGGUACUGUGUGCAGAAUAUCCAGUGGGGACUGUUUUGUUUUGUGUUGUUUUUAAAAGCAUUACUGUCCCUUUCAUCUUUGUGUUUUUAGGGAGAUUCCUACAAGCAACUAUCCAGGUGAAUUAAAAUUCCUACAGUAGUGAUCUUGAAAUUCUAAGCAAGAAGGUUGUACAUCAUUCUUGAGGACCUCCUCCUAAAAAUGAGGAACAAAGAACCAGGAAAAGAAAACAAUCCAGGAAAAAAGUGAGCAUGAACCAGAACAGAAAUGGAGGAAGACUGAAGAGGGAAAAAAGUAGAAAACCUAAGAAAGCCAAAAAGAAAAAGAAGCCUGAAGGUACACAUCAAAUGUGUGACAAAUGCAAGCUACCGAUCAAAACCAUCUACUCACUAUAAAGAGAGCCAACAAAGACAAGACUUGCUGUACUAAAAAAGCUCUACAUCAAAUCCAGGCUUUAACCACUGAAAUCAACCACUCAGUGUUAUCAAAAUCAGCAUCCUCGUUAUUCUUUUCUUUAAUCAGUAAUUCCCCUUCAUGGCAUUGCAGGGUUUUUAGGUCUUCAAACAAAUGUAAUCUUAAUUGAUUAAAGAAGUAAAAAUUAAUGGCCA